UGGCGGACGGGGAGGUAAUGUCUGGGAAACUGCCCGAUGGAGGGGGAUAACUACUGGAAACGGUAGCUAAUACCGCAUAACGUCGCAAGACCAAAGAGGGGGACCUUCGGGCCUCUUGCCAUCGGAUGUGCCCAGAUGGGAUUAGCUAGUAGGUAAGGUAACGGCUUACCUAGGCGACGAUCCCUAGCUGGUCUGAGAGGAUGACCAGCCACACUGGAACUGAGACACGGUCCAG
rnacentral:rRNA from 1 species